GGGUUCGUGGUGUAGUUGGUUAUCACGUUAGUCUAACACACUGAAGGUCUCGGAUUCAAGUUUGGGCGAAGCUA
rnacentral:tRNA from 1 species